rnacentral:rRNA from 1 species
GAUGAACGCUGGCGGCGUGCCUAAUACAUGCAAGUCGAGCGAACGGACGAGAAGCUUGCUUCUCUGAUGUUAGCGGCGGACGGGUGAGUAGCACGUGGAUAACCUACCUAUAAGACUGGGAUAACUUCGGGAAACCGGAGCUAAUACCGGAUAAUAUUUUGAACCGCAUGGUUCAAAAGUGAAAGACGGUCUUGCUGUCACUUAUAGAUGGAUCCGCGCUGCAUUAGCUAGUUGGUAAGGUAACGGCUUACCAAGGCAACGAUGCAUAGCCGACCUGAGAGGGUGAUCGGCCACACUGGAACUGAGACACGGUCCAGACUCCUACGGGAGGCAGCAGUAGGGAAUCUUCCGCAAAGGGCGAAAGCCUGACGGAGCAACGCCGCGUGAGUGAUGAAGGUCUUCGGAUCGUAAAACUCUGUUAUUAGGGAAGAACAUAUGUGUAAGUAACUGUGCACAUCUUGACGGUACCUAAUCAGAAAGCCACGGCUAACUACGUG